rnacentral:rRNA from 1 species
UACGUAGGGUGCAAGCGUUGUCCGGAAUUAUUGGGCGUAAAGAGCUCGUAGGCGGUUUGUCGCGUCUGCUGUGAAAAACCCGAGGCUCAACCUCGGGCCUGCAGUGGGUACGGGGCAGACUAGAGUGCGGUAGGGGGAGAUUGGAAUUCCUGGUGUAGCGGUGGAAUGCGCAGAUAUCAGGAGGAACACCAAUGGCGAAGGCAGAUCUCUGGGCCGUAACUGACGCUGAGGAGCGAAAGCAUGGGGGAGCGAACAGG